UCCAUAAAGAGACAAAAAGGGCCAAGCGUGGUCAAGACUCCUUGGGGCUUUUGGCUGAGGGACAGGGAGGGAAAGUUCAUUGUCAUGUGACUCUGCCCUCUGCAAAAAAGCAAAGUCCAUGCUCUUCUUAGGGACCUUGUUGACGUAGUGCAUGGAACCAGAGUUCAACUCAUGUGUCUCCCAGGGGUCCUGCCUCCCUUCCUGAAGCCUGACACCAGCUGUUUCAUGGCUCCAAAGCCUUGACGUCUACUCCCAGCAAGCUUAUCACGACUGUGGCCCCCUGAAGAGGAAUGCUGCUAAGGAUUUCAAAGGAGGGAAAACACAUAUGAUAUUUGCCUUCUUGUGGCUUGUGGCCUGCUCUACACGAUGUUCAGAGCUUAUAAAGACUGAACCAUGUUGCAAGACAAUGAAGUUCUAGAGAUCUGCUGUACGUUAUAGAUCCUAUAGUAAGCAAGAUGAUAUUGUACACUUAAAAUAUGAUCAGAAGACCUCAUGUGAAAUAGUCUUACAAUAAACAAACCAACCCACAGAACACAAGGAAAUAUUUGGAGGUGAUGCAUAUGUUUAAUGUCUUGAUUGUGGUUAACAGUAUCAUAGGUGUGUAUAUACAUCCAAAAUCAUCAAAAUGUACGCAUCAAAUAUUUGCAUUUUUAUAUGUCCAUUAUACCUCACUAAAGCAUACAAAGGAAGGAAGAAAACAAACAGAACUGAGUCACCUGGAAGUGCAUGGAAGAGUGAUGUAACUUUAUACAGUAAGAGCCUCAGAUUGUCCAAGGAAUGGGAGCUCCAUAAAUAUUGGUUGAAAAACAUUUGAUGUUAUCCAAGCCAUCAGCUUCGCUGGACCUGUUUCUUCUUUUGAACAGAAAAGAAAAUCUGGACAGGCAUACAUCAAUUGUGAGGAUCUGGGUGUGUAAGAUUUCUCGUCAUGGUGGACAUCUUAUCAUGCACAAACUGGAAGAAGUAUCAGAAUGGCAUCACUUGAGCAAUCUUAAAAUUACUACAAAUCGGGCAACAAGACAUUGCAAGCCUCUUAUGUGGCACAAUAUUUGUUUACAGGAAACAAUGAAGAUGGAGGAGCACGUUGAAUUUGUCUAAGUACAUGAGAAUCUCAUCCGUCAGACCUAAAUGUGGGCAAUUUUCCAGGAUAAGUGACCUGGUUUCUUUAACGCAAUGCAUGCUUUUGGGUGAGGAGGUAUCAUUAGAUUAAAGGAAACAUAAAAGACAUCUUAAUCUUGUUUGGAACUUUAUGCCAACAGAAUAACUGUAAAAUGACAUUCUUGAGACAAGAAAUGAAUUCAACCUGAAUAUAAGAUUGCAUUAAAUUGUUAUUAUUGAUGUUGUUAAGGCCAGUAACGGUGCUAUGGUUUUGCUGUAGACAGAGGUCCACAGGUAUUUUCUGCUGUUUUCUGGAUGAAUAUUGAUGAUAUUACCAUAUGUGAAACAAACCAGGCAUGAAAGGACAAAUGCUGUGUGGUUCUGGUUUUAUAAGGUCACUAGAAUGGCCAAAUUCAUAGAAAGUAGAAUAGUGAAUUCCAGCGGCUGUGAGGAGGGGAAUGGAGAGCUAAUAUUGAAUGGAUGUUGGUUUGGAAAGACGAAGACAGUUUUAGAGACAGAUGUGGUGACAGUUGCACAACAAUAUGAAUAUACUUAAUAUCCAUAACUGUACACUUAAAAUGGUUAAAAUAGAUGGCAAUGGAUGUUAUGUUCAUUUUAUCACAAUAAAAAAAAAGUCCUCAGGUAUUAGGGAUAGAUGCUAGAGUAGUUAAGGGUGACCGACAUGAUGCCUGAGAUUUGCUUUAAAAUAAUCCAGUAAAACAGAACAAAAAACCUGGAGGAGAGAGAGUAAAUAAGAUUGGGAAAAUGCAUAGAAUGAUGAGGAGUGAUGGGGAAUAAAUUAAACUAUUGGUUAUUUAUGAUAAACCAUAGGAGAGUAUAUGAAGUUUAAAAUUACUACAUCACAUUUUGGUGUAUUGAAUUUAAUUCUCUAAGAGGCACUGCACACUUAUACUCUUUUUAGAGGACUCAUUUUAAAAAAAUCUUGCAACACCUUAGUAACAUGUACUGACCUCAUAUGAAAUUGAGAAUAAAAUAGCCCAAACUCAUGGAAGAGGUCAUGGAGAAUGCAACCCUCUCAUGCAUAAAUGCAGGGAUACUUGUGUUGUUCUUGCCAGAUUGUUGGGAAGAAUAAACAAGAUCAUAUAUGACAGCAUUCUUUAUUGCUGCCUCCAUCAUAAAAUAUGAAUGCUCAGGCUCCACCUCAAACCAAUGGGAAUAGAAUCUCUGAGUGUGAAACCCAGGGAAAUGUGCUUUUAAAAAGCUACCUAAGUGAUUCUAAUGUGCAAUCAAAGUCAAGAGUUACU